rnacentral:rRNA from 1 species
ACCAGACUCCUACGGGAGGCAGCAGUAAGGGAUAUUGGUCAAUGGGGGAAACCCUGAACCAGCAACGCCGCGUGAGGGAAGACGGUUUUCGGAUUGUAAACCUCUGUCCUCUGUGAAGAUGAUGACGGUAGCAGAGGAGGAAGCUCCGGCUAACUCCGUGCCAGCAGCCGCGGUAAUACGGAGGAUGCGAGCGUUAUCCGGAUUUAUUGGGUUUAAAGGGUGCGUAGGCGGAAUGCCAAGUCAGCGGUAAAAUCGGGGGGCUCACCCCCGCUCCGCCGUUGAAACUGGCGUUCUUGAGUGGGCGAGAAGUAUGCGGAGUGCGUGGUGUAGCGGUGAAAUGCAUAGAUAUCACGCAGAACUCCGAUUGCGAAGGCAGCAUACCGGCGCCCAACUGACGCUGAAGCACGAAAGCGUGGGUAUCGAACAGGAUUAGAUACCCGUGUA